GUUCUCUCUGAGGUUGUUCAGGAUAAACGGGAGAGUCGUUUCACUCACACGAGAGAAACGGGGGCAGAGGAUUAAAGGGAAAAGUAGUGCCCCCCAAAGCUGAACUAUUUUAGAAAGGAAAGCAAAUUUAAAAAUCACUUUUCUGCGGAUUAAAAGGCCGGGAAACCGGCUCGUCGGAGGCACAAAGAAGUGAAGCUCUAAUUUUACGAAAUCGAAAUAUUUCCUCUUCGAAGAGUGUAAAAAAGGGAACUCCUUGCCUCCCUAUUCCCUGAAACACAACAAUAUUGAAAUAGCCCUACAAUGACCUCUAAGUGUUCAAGUCAAAGGAAGAGUUGCAUGCCUCUCUUUUUAAAUUAAAAGCUAGAAAUAAUUAAAUUUGGCGAGAGAGGAAGGUCAAAAGCCAUGAUAGGCUGAAAGCUAGGCCUCUGUGCCAAAGAGUUGGCCAAGUUGUGAGUUCAAAGGAAAAGUUCUUGAAGGAAAUUAAAAGUGCUGCCUCAGUGAACACAUGAAAAAUGAUAAAAACAAGGAAACAGCCUUAAUGCUGAUGUGGAGAAAGUUCUAGUUGGUCUGGAUAGAAGAUCAAGCCAGCCACAACAUUCCCUUAAGCCAAAGCCUAAUCCAGAGCAAGGUCCUAACUCUCUUCAAUUCUACAAAGGCUGAGAGAGAUGAGGAAGCUGCAGAAGAGAAGUUGGAAGCAGUGCUUGCUUAUUGCUGUACCUGCUGCAGUUGCUUUCAGCUGGAGGAAAUUUAUGCUGUUUGUGUCUCAGAAAAUCUGCAAAACAUGCUGGUGACCAGUGCCUCUGGGGAGCUUGAAGACUGCAGAGAUGUUCUCUACGGGCUCUUGGGACAAUGGGGAAAAUUAUGUUUCACUGCGGUCUAUUGGAGAUUUUGGAAACUUGAACUCUGAUAGAGGGUUUGAAGGAGACAAUCAAUUACUGUGUGAUAUUAGACACUAUGGUGAUAUAAUGGAUUGACAGUUGUCUGACCAGGAAAGAAUUGUAGCUGCUUCAUCAACAGGAUGUGUAUCAGUUUUCCUUCAUCAUCUGAAUAACCAGACUCUUUCAGUCAACCAGCUGUGAACUACAGCUCAUUACCACACAGGCCCAGAAAGUCCUUCGUGUAGCAGUGCACCACGUACAGCUGUUGUGUGGAACAACCCAGAAAUCAUUAACGUUGGAGACAAUGGUUGAAUAAAUCUCUUCAAAGCUUAUCACAAGGAAACCGUAAGAACUGUAGGCAAUGCGGAUAGUAGUAUACUCUAUGCUGUAAUCUUUCUUAGAACUCUUGAGAGAUUCUUACUGUAAAUUCGAUUGGACAGUUAAAAAUAUGGGAUUUCACACAACAAGGAAAUGAGCCUUCUCAGAUAUUGUCACUGACCGGUGACUGAGUGCCAUUCCAUUGCAUUGAUAGAAAUCUCACCAAACAGCAUGUUGUAGCUCCUGGUGGCCAGGAUGGAAUGUUGAGUAUUUGGAAUGUUAGACAAGGUACUAUGCCUGUAUCUUCGCUGAAGAAUUACGAAGCUAAAAUGUAGGAAGUUCACUUUCACCCAUUAAACCCAGAUCCUCCAUUUAUUGUUCUGAAGAUGAAUUCCUCUGACAUUGGGAUGUUUCCACAGAUGUACCAUCACUCUUUCACCAAGGAGGAAGAGCUAGUACUUUUUUGUCUCAUAGCAUUAGUAAGCAAGCUAAUGUUCACCAGUCUCUCAAAGUUCUUGGCUCAGCACUGAUCCUACAAAAGACCAAAUUGAAAUCACAAGCUUACUUCUCAACCCUGUCUGUGAACCGUUUGGAUGCGUUUUUGUCAUCUUUAUCCUUGUCUUGUUUGUGGAACUGAUGCAGAAGCAGUUUAUAGUACUGGACAACUUUUUUCAUAAACUACUGUAAUUAUAAGAUUUUAGAUAAAUGUAUAAUUGGCCUUUUGAAUUCCACCUUUUGUGCAAAAUUUUAUUAUCAGAAAAUGUGACAUUUGCAGGGGAAACAUCAGUAAGCUACCGUCAGUGUCAAUGCCCAGCUUUGGCUUUUGUUAGCUGGAUAUUCCCACAACAGUUGCAGAAUCUGAUAGAUGACCGAUGGUAAAACAUGUGAACAUGCGGAAGAACAUCAGAGGGAUUCUGGUGCCAAUGAAUAAUACAUUGCCUUCAGACAAUUAUUGACAGCUCAUGGAACUAUUUCUUCAUUUUUGAUGUUGUGGGACUUAACCCAACAUCAGUGGUAGGUAGGGGAACAACCAAGAGGUUUCUAUAAUUUUUAUCAGUAUGUAUACUCCUUCCUAGUGGCAAUUGCCAGUGUUAAUGAUUAUUCUUUUUAUUGAAAAUAUUUUCUAUAGUCCUUCUACACUUUAUUUCCUUAAUAAUUUUAAUAAACUUUUAAAGGAA
ensembl:lncRNA